rnacentral:tRNA from 1 species
GCCGCGAGCAUGGAAAGCGCGCUUUCCUCGCCGGAUUUCAGCUCCAGCUCCAGCUCGCUGAUCUCCCCGCGGCGCGUCGUGCCGUCGACUUCCGCCGUG